UUGAGGGGAGAUGGAACCCUGAGCAGCCCAUGUACAUGGAAGAUCUUUAUUGCAGAGAUCUUCAAACCAGGAUCUUCUAAGGGUGUGAGGAUACAGGCGUCAAAGACCCCGUGCUGAGACAGCUCCAUAACAACAUGCAGAUAUUUGGCAAUGAGGGUUCAGAAGAGGACUUGCUGUGGAGAAGAGAGAAAAGAGAUGGGAAGACUCUGUGAAUGAAUAGAGAACACUCUGCAAGCAUCCCAGUUCCUUUGGUUGCCCUGCAGUCUGCAGGUACCAGGAGAAAUCAAAAGCCGCCUGGAAGGGCUUUCUGUCUGUAUGGAGUCAAGGCAGUGUCUUCAAAUCUGUGCUUUCUAAAACAAAGAAAUAACCUUGAUGAAACAAAUUUUCCCCAGAGGAAGGGGAGAGCCCACAGUGAGCUGGUAAAGAAGAUGCCUGGAGCAGGCAGCAUCCUCAAAUGGAAGGUAAUUGCCCUCAAAUCACUUAACUAGGAUGACCUACUUUGCUUUCCUGUAUAGCCAGGUCUGUUAUCAGACCCUUAUCUUGGGAGGCAUCGUGCCAGAGCCUGGGGCAAGAAAGGGCUGCUAUCCAGGAAUGCAGGUGAAAUUAUAGCUAUUAGCCCUGUCUUAGAGUGUGAGGAAAAUGUGCCCCCCUACCCCUGGCUAAGUUUGGGUUCCCAUGUCAUAAACUGCCUCCCUCUCUGAUAGCUCUGCAUAAACAUCCCAGGAACUCAAAGUAACAUUUGAUUUCCCAAAGAGAACAUUUGCAUUUGUAACUGUCAGAAAUAGGAGAGAUCAUCAAAGCUAAAUGAAUUGGGCUAUAAACAGUUUGAAAUAUGUCUUUAAAUUUUAAAAAACAUAUUUUUUGUUUGUUUUGGGGAGAGAGGAUCAUUUAGACUCAACAACAAAACAGAAAACUGUGAGUGCCAUUUUGAGACAAGACCUACCUGGUCCUUCCCCCUCAUACUUUCUGCUACCCCG
ensembl:lncRNA BAALC-AS1 BAALC antisense RNA 1